rnacentral:rRNA from 1 species
GACGAACGCUGGCGGCGUGCUUAACACAUGCAAGUCGAACGGAAAGGCCCUGCUUUUGUGGGGUGCUCGAGUGGCGAACGGGUGAGUAACACGUGAGUAACCUGCCCUUGACUUUGGGAUAACUUCAGGAAACUGGGGCUAAUACCGGAUAGGAGCUCCUGCUGCAUGGUGGGGGUUGGAAAGUUUCGGCGGUUGGGGAUGGACUCGCGGCUUAUCAGCUUGUUGGUGGGGUAGUGGCUUACCAAGGCUUUGACGGGUAGCCGGCCUGAGAGGGUGACCGGCCACAUGGGGACUGAGAUACGGCCCAGACUCCUACGGGAGGCAGCAGUGGGGAAUAUUGCACAAUGGGCGGAAGCCGGAUGCAGCAACGCCGCGUGCGGGAUGACGGCCUUCGGGUUGUAAACCGCUUUCGCCUGUGACGAAGCGUGAGUGACGGUAAUGGGUAAAGAAGCACCGGCUAACUACGU